UACUGCGCUUUUAAGAAAAAUUAAUUCAACAUCGAGGUCGCAACCUUCUCUUUAAAUAAGAGCUUCAAAGAGUUAUUACGCUGUUAUCCCUAUGGUAACUUGUUCAUAGUUCAAUUUUAUUGGAUUGAGGAUUAUAUUUUUUAAAAUAAAAUGAUUAUUAAAUAGCUGCCCCAGCUUAACUAGAGUAAAGUUCAAUAGGGUCUUGUCGUCUAAUUGAUUUAUAAAUACAUUUUUAUAUUUGAUUUAGGUUAAAAAUUAUUUUUGGAAAAAGAUAUUAAAAUGUUAAAUCUUUCAUACUUGCCUUUAAUUAGAAGGCUAAUGAUUAUGCUACCUUAGCACAGUAAAGUUCUGCGGCUAUUUAAUUUUCAUUG
rnacentral:rRNA from 1 species